rnacentral:lncRNA from 1 species
CUUCAUGGAACCGGUUUGAAGUCUCCCCCUCUCAACUGACUUCACAGCCAUCUUAGAGAAGCUAGGACACGACCAGAUCAUCUUCAAAACACCAGUAAGGCUGAUCAACACUUCAAACUAUGCUUGCCCUCUUCAUAGAACUGGUUUGGAUCUCCCCCUCUCAACAGACUUCACAGCCACCUUAGAGAAGCUAGGAAAUGACCAGGAACAUCUUUAGUGAGACUCAAGCAAUGGUACCUGAUACAUUAUCCCAAAGGUGCAUCAGUACUUAUCAAGAAACAUCACACAAUCCAUUCAAACAUUUUAAGUAUCAUUUCUAGACUUUGAUUUGAAAUGAUGAAUGUAUUGAAUUGAAUUGAGCUUAGAACACUUCCCUUUUGUUUUGGUGAGUUCCCACUCGGCCAUUGCACCAUCUCCAUGGCAUCAUCAACUUCUUGGAAAGGCAGAAUGGAUUCAUCAGCUUCUCAUCAAUCACUUCACCAUAGAAGCCGCUUUGAUGAGUUCACCUUCACCCUUAGACUGCCUAGAAUAGCUCCGGCUGAUGAUCCUUUGUAGGAGCCUUUGCAAAGACUUGUUACUGACCAUGGAUCAUAUGCAUUAAGACUCCCCCUCAAGCUUAGAACCGAGACUAGAAGGAGCUAAGCUUGUGAUGAUCAUAUGCAUCCCCAUGGUCUUAUAACUAUCAGUCUUCCAUGAUAGCUUUUUUCUUGUGAGUUUACUCUCUUCCUUAACCAGGAACUAGGGUGUUUGAAUCACCAUAGAGAGCCUCACAAGACACACUUCUCAUUGCAUAAUGACCCAUGCUACACUUCCUGUAGACUUUGGACUGGAUAUUUCCAAUGGUAUUAUGCAAUGGCCAUCUCUCAUUGCAUAAUCAAUCACACUACACUUCCUGUAGAUUAUGGACUAACAUGUCCUAGUGAUGAUAUGCAAUGGCACUAGACCUUUGUCUCUACAUUCUUGGCUGUUGGCGAGUUACAUGUAUCACUCCUUGUGUACCUAACACCACCACAACUCAAUGCAAGAUCAGAUCAUCCCAUUGGGAUCAAACUAAGAUCUUCCAUCCUGUUUGAUCACCAAUGCCACAACAGUAUAUAAUACUUGAAACAAACCAGACAAUCAAGGCAAGAACAAGUAAAUUUCAAUCUCUAAAAUGACAAUGCAAGCUCUAAACAAUACAUUGACAUUCUAGGUUUAUUUGUUCAUUUUUCAUUUUUUUUUUUUAAGUUCUCUAAAUGCAAUGCAAGCUUACAUCAGUACAUUUGCAAUUUAGGUUCAUUUUUAAAUGCAUCACUACAUGAAUGCACAAUCUUAAAGCAUUAGCUAUAUGAAUGCAACAAGGUCAAUCCAUGAGACAUAUUAAAGCUAUGCUCAACAGUUUCAAUCAAAACCAAUGAUGCAAGCAACUUAGACAAUUUCUAAUUGAUGCUAGACUUUCAUUGAUGGAUUAAACAUAGGCAUUAGCAUCAGUACACACUCGGAUUGAACUUAGACAAUAUGAGACAUGCUUAUGUAUGCAAAACAGCUUUUCAAACAUGAUGCAAGUAGUAGAGACAUUCUACUCAAUUCUACAACCCAUUCAUGAUGAUUCAAGCAAUGGCAACUCACAAGACAAUGCAAUAACCCAAAACAUGAGAUUCUGGGACUCUAGACACCACUCACAGCACAAUAAAUAAAGACACAAGCUCUUAUUAAGGGUUAGGAGGUUUGCUUACAAACAAGAGAUCCGAGCUGAUCUCUUGAACCUCCAUGGGCACGGUUCACUUGAACUUGGCAGGUUUGAGGCUUGGAUUCAGUAUCCAACACCUCUCCUUGGUGUGCCCAUCCCUCUUGCAAUGUUCACACUUCAGGCCUCUCCUAUCCCCCUUCUUGUAAGGUGCCUUGUUGGGCUGAGAGCUUCUUUCAGCUUGAGAAGCAAAGGAGAGUGUUUCCUUUGUUCCAAACAACCCGAUUGAUCCCUCCUCCUUUUGGACUUGGGAACACACUUCUUCAAGUGUUGGGAGCUUCUCAGACCUCAAGAUAUGUUGAAUCAAGGCGCUGUAGGCAGGGCUGAGGGUUAGUAGUAGGCCAAACACCUUGUCUUGCUCCCUUCUUUCAAUCAACACCUCCGGAUCAACAGAUUGGGGUCUAAGCAUCUCUAGCUCAGACCAAAGGGCUCUGAACUUGCCUAGAUGCGCAGUGAACUCCUCAUCUUCUUGGGAUAGGAUGUUGAUGGACUUCUUGAUCUCAAAUACUCGGCUGAUGUUGGAGAUGUUCCCAUAUAUCUUGUUAAGUGUACUCCAAAGGUCUUUAGCACUCUCACAGUAUGAGUAUGCUUCAAGGAUGGAUGGAGACAGUGAGCUAUGGAGAAUGGAUAAGACCUUGAGGUCUUCUUGUUCCCACUUCUCCUCAGAUACAGAUUUGGAACCGGAUUCACCAUCUGCUGAGCUUUCAUUUGAACCGGCAGUCUUGGAGAGCUUUGGAGCAUCCGUGAGGCAAUGGCUCCAUAAGCCUCUCCCUCCUAGAGCUGUCUUCACCAUGCGUGACCAGAGAAGGUAGUUGGGACCAUUGAGAGUAACAGCAAUGACAAUGGUUCUUUUGGACUCCAUGUUGAAGCCGGAUGAACAAGACUGUCAAAGAACUCUUCAAGGUAGUAUCUUGGGACAAGGUGAGCUGAAUCUUCAAGGGCGUGAGCUUGGGAGCUUGUGGAUGUUGCGGAAGCUUCUACCAGGAGUCUGAGCAACCUGGCUCUGAUACCAUGUGAGAUUUUCAGAGUACAAGUGCUUGAGUGAUGUAAGAACAGAUGAGAGAUUUGUGUAUGAUGAAGUAUGAAGAAUAGAAAUGAGUUUAAGAGAAUCAGAGAGAGUAUGGGAGAGACUAAGAGAUUAGGAACGUGUAUGGGAGAUUAGAGAGACUUAGUAACCAGAGAAUAAGAUCCAAGAACAAGUUUAUGAAGAAGAGAGACUCUCUCAGCUUAAAAGUUACAAAAUGAUCCUAAGAGGCUUAUUUAUGCCUUUACACAACUCAGAUCAUAAACCUAGAUCCUAAGGCUGUAAAUUAAAGAUAAAUGGAUGGUUAGGAUGAGAGGAAGCUGGUCUUUGAUGUUCUGGUGCUAGCUGGUCGUGGUUGGACUGAAUGGAGGGCUCAGAUUGCUUCAUUUGAAUUGGAUGGAUCAGAUGAGUCAAGGCUGUAAAGGUAAAGCACCUUUACCUUUCCAGCUCAUACCAACAGCUCACCUUAUCCAUUUGAAUCUUCCUUUGCCUCCAAGACUCCCCAAAGGUCACAUAAGGAAGGAUAAUCCACGCCCACACAUUGCACAUCACCAAACAAAGCUGAUCCGGGUCUUUGGUCGAUCCGGAUGGGAUGUACGGUCGAUGUACGGCCUUGAGGUCCGUACACUCGCCCUAUAUCUUUACCUUCAUCCAAACAUCUUCUAUGGUCGACCCAUACACCUUCUUGGAUCAUCCUAGGCCGUACAGGGCCGUACCAUGGCCGUACCACUCGCCCUAGCUUUGCACCUAUGGCCAUCUUCUCUCUAACUCCUCCAAACCUUUCACAUGAUCAGUCUAAGUCUUUCCUAGACUUAACUUCUCAAGAUAACUACUUCAGAACACUUCUGAAGCUUGAUUGAACUCUUCUGGACAUCUUCUAGAGCUUGCCCUAUUAUUGUACAAGCUCUAUCUUCUCUUCAGUUCAACACUCCCCCUCAAGCUUGACUUUAGGAGAUCCUAAGCCAAGCUUGGAACUCUGAAGAGUCUCCCUCAUUAAAAACCUUACAAGGAAAACCCAUUGGGACAAAACCUUGCAAGGGAAAAAGAGUAGAGCUCUCCAAAGCCUAGGGAUUUGCCAGUUAGCUCUUGUGCCUUAGAACCAGUGUGGUUUGACACAAGAAGCUCUGGAUCACGGCCUAAUAGGUGCAGCAACACUUCACAGCUUUGCGCACACUUCACACUUCAGCUUCACCUCUUCAUGGAACCGGUUUGAAGUCUCCCCCUCUCAACUGACUUCACAGCCAUCUUAGAGAAGCUAGGACACGACCAGAUCAUCUUCAAAACACCAGUAAGGCUGAUCAACACUUCAAUCUAUGCUUGCCCUCUUCAUAGAACUGGUUUGGAUCUCCCCCUCUCAACAGACUUCACAGCUACCUUAGAGAAGCUAGGAAAUGACCAGGAACAUCUUUAGUGAGACUCAAGCAAUGGUACCUGAUACAUUAUCCCAAAGGUGCAUCAGUACUUAUCAAGAAACAUCACACAAUCCAUUCAAACAUUUUAAGUAUCAUUUCUAGACUUUGAUUUGAAAUGAUGAAUGUAUUGAAUUGAAUUGAGCUUAG